CCGUCUCUCAGGUUCUAGCACGGCCCUCGGAAUGGCUAGAACUUUUUUAAAGCGUCACGGCAACGUGACGCUUUUUUUU
rnacentral:ncRNA from 1 species